ensembl:ncRNA Y58A7A.7 ncRNA
UAUCCUUCACUGCAUUGUGAAGGCGUUCCUUUCCACCAUGGUGAUGUUUUCCCAGCCAUCUGCGCUCUCCACGUGGCUUUUCAAACA